rnacentral:rRNA from 1 species
GACGAACGCUGGCGGCGUGCCUAAUACAUGCAAGUGGGACGCAAGGGAACACACUGUGCUUGCACACCGUGUUUUCUUGAGUCGCGAACGGGUGAGUAACGCGUAGGUAACCUGCCUAUUAGCGGGGGAUAACUAUUGGAAACGAUAGCUAAUACCGCAUAAUAUUAAUUAUUGCAUGAUAAUUGAUUGAAAGAUGCAAGCGCAUCACUAGUAGAUGGACCUGCGUUGUAUUAGCUAGUUGGUAAGGUAAGAGCUUACCAAGGCGACGAUACAUAGCCGACCUGAGAGGGUGAUCGGCCACACUGGGACUGAGACACGGCCCAGACUCCUACGGGAGGCAGCAGUAGGGAAUCUUCGGCAAUGGACGAAAGUCUGACCGAGCAACGCCGCGUGAGUGAAGAAGGUUUUCGGAUCGUAAAGCUCUGUUGUAAGUCAAGAACGUGUGUGAGAGUGGAAAGUCACACAGUGACGGUAGCUACC